rnacentral:rRNA from 1 species
AUGCUACCAGAUCGCAGAUAUUUCUUGGUACAUAUGCAUUUAAAGAAAAGAUGGGUGUGUGUGUGUGACUGUGAUAGAUGGUUCUACUGGUAUCUUAUUGGAUAUAUACAAGAAGUGUUGGUAAGGAAAUCAAAAUACAAGAUACAAGAGAAUGCUGCAACAGCCAAGGUUCCAAAGUAUAUUGAAGGUGCUCGCAAGCUUCCUUGGACUGGUUCUUACAUAAAUGCUUCUGAAUGUCAUCUCUCCUACAUGGUGCUGGUUAAUGCCUUCUUUUGUAUGCAAAAUACAUGGAGGGCAUACAACCUAUACCUCAUAGUAACGAGGUAA